UGGGGAAUAUUGGGCAAUGGGCGCAAGCCUGACCCAGCAACGCCGCGUGAAGGAAGAAGGCUUUCGGGUUGUAAACUUCUUUUCUGAGGGACGAUAGUGACGGUACCUCAGGAAUAAGCCACGGCUAACUACGUGCCAGCAGCCGCGGUAAUACGUAGGUGGCAAGCGUUAUCCGGAUUUACUGGGUGUAAAGGGCGUGUAGGCGGGAUGGUAAGUCAGAUGUGAAAACUAUGGGCUCAACCCAUAGUCUGCAUUUGAAACUAUCGUUCUUGAGUGUUGGAGAGGCAGGCGGAAUUCCGUGUGUAGCGGUGAAAUGCGUAGAUAUACGGAGGAACACCAGUGGCGAAGGCGGCCUGCUGGACAAUAACUGACGCUGAGGCGCGAAAGCGUGGGGAGCAAACAGGAUUAGAUACC
rnacentral:rRNA from 1 species